GCCUUCUGCCAUCGAUCUGGGGGCUCCCAAUUCUGGCAAUCCAUCAUCCGGCUCCUCCCAGUCCUCCGGAUCGGGACCUCGAUUGAGGUAGGAUCCGGCACCGCCACGAUGUUCUGGUUCGAUAGAUGGAUUGGAGACAUGCCCCUCACGGCCUGCUUUCCUGAGCUAUUCUCCAUCGCGGCUGCCCCACGUAUUUCUAUCGCGACUGCCCUUAUUGACUUGGAGCAACUCACGUUCUGGAGACCUUUUGGCCCGGCUGAGAACGCGGACUGGCAAGAGCUGCUUGACUGCAUUGCUUUACACGAGCCUGAUCUCACGACUGAAGACGACCGAUCCAGAUGGUGGCUAGAGCCUUCUGGACAAUUCUCCACUAAAUCUCUCUACCAGACCAUCGCCCCCUUGCUUGGCCAUGAGGCGCUCACCUCCAUCUGGGAGAUUCACCUCCCUCUGAAAAUUAGGAUAUUCUUGUGGCAAUGGAUUCGCGGUCGGCUCCCGUCCGGCGUGCAGGUCCUGAAGCGCAAUGGCCCUGGUGAUGGGUGUUGCCCGCAUUAUGGGCCUGAAGAAGAUUCGAACCAUAUCUUCUUCUCCUGCAUGUCCGCGCAGUUCCUAUGGAGUUGUUUCCGCGAGAUAGUGGGUGGAAGCUGGGACCACAGCAACUUCCCCGCUCUCUUCGCCGAACUCCAGGCGAUCCUACCCACGGUGCGUCACAUUAGGUGGCUAGCCAUUAGGGUGCUUGCCUGGAUACUGUGGACUGUUAGGAAUAAACUUGUGAUUCAGCGUGUUCCUCUUCGUCGUGCUACUGACGCUUUGUUCAAAUGGCCUGGCUACUUGCAGCUUUGGCGGCCGCUUAGCCGUCCCAGGGAGAGAGACGACAUCACCUUCAUCAUCACCCAACUUCGCGCGAUGGCUCUCCGGAUGGCUCCGCCACUUCCCCCACCACCACUGGAACCAGAUUAG
rnacentral:rRNA from 1 species